UACAGAGACCUCAAGCGUUAUCCGGAAUCAUUGGGCGUAAAGCGUACCGAUAGGUGGUUUAGAAAGUCAGAUGUGAAAUUCCAAGGCUCAACCUUGGGACUGUCAUUUGAAACUUCUAAACUAGAGGGGCAAAGAGGAAGCUGGAACGAACGGUGUAGUAGGGAAAUGCGUUGAUAUCGUUCGGAACACCAAUAGCGAAGGCGGGCUUCUGGGUGCCACCUGACACUGCUAGGACGAAAGCGUGGGGAGCGAAUGGG
rnacentral:rRNA from 1 species